rnacentral:rRNA from 1 species
CCUACGGGCGGCUGCAGUGGGGAAUAUUGCACAAUGGGCGCAAGCCUGAUGCAGCCAUGCCGCGUGUGUGAAGAAGGCCUUCGGGUUGUAAAGCACUUUCAGCGGGGAGGAAGGCGUUAAGGUUAAUAACCUUGGCGAUUGACGUUACCCGCAGAAGAAGCACCGGCUAACUCCGUGCCAGCAGCCGCGGUAAUACGGAGGGUGCAAGCGUUAAUCGGAAUUACUGGGCGGAAAGCGCACGCAGGCGGUCUGUCAAGUCGGAUGUGAAAUCCCCGGGCUCAACCUGGGAACUGCAUUCGAAACUGGCAGGCUAGAGUCUUGUAGAGGGGGGUAGAAUUCCAGGUGUAGCGGUGAAAUGCGUAGAGAUCUGGAGGAAUACCGGUGGCGAAGGCGGCCCCCUGGACAAAGACUGACGCUCAGGUGCGAAAGCGUGGGGAGCAAACAGGAUUAGAUACCCUUGUAGUC